rnacentral:rRNA from 1 species
UACGAAGGGUGCAAGCGUUAAUCGGAAUUACUGGGCGUAAAGGGUGCGUAGGCGGUUUUUUAAGUCUGUCGUGAAAUCCCCGGGCUCAACCUGGGAAUGGCGAUGGAUACUGGCGAGCUAGAGUGUGUCAGAGGAUGGUGGAAUUCCCGGUGUAGCGGUGAAAUGCGUAGAGAUCGGGAGGAACAUCAGUGGCGAAGGCGGCCAUCUGGGACAACACUGACGCUGAAGCACGAAAGCGUGGGGAGCAAACAGG